AACGAACGCUGGCGGCAUGCCUAACACAAGCAAGUCGAACGAGACCUUCGGGUCUAGUGGCGCACGGGUGCGUAACGCGUGGGAACCUGCCCUUAGGUUCGGAAUAACUCCCCGAAAGGGGUGCUAAUACCGGAUAAUGUCUUCGGACCAAAGAUUUAUCGCCUUUGGAUGGGCCCGCGUUGGAUUAGCUAGUUGGUAGGGUAAAAGCCUACCAAGGCGACGAUCCAUAGCUGGUCUGAGAGGAUGAUCAGCCACACUGGGACUGAGACACGGCCCAGACUCCUACGGGAGGCAGCAGUGGGGAAUAUUGGACAAUGGGCGAAAGCCUGAUCCAGCAAUGCCGUGUGAGUGAUGAAGGCCUUAGGGUUGUAAAGCUCUUAUACCCGGGAUGAUAAUGACAGUACCGGGAGAAUAAGCUCCGGCUAACUCCGUG
rnacentral:rRNA from 1 species